ACGAACGCUGGCGGCGUGCUUAACCCCUGCAAGUCGAACGGGAUCCAAAGGCUUUUUGUUUUUGGUGAGAGUGGCGAACGGGUGAGUAACACGUGAGUAACCUGCCCCCUUCUUUUGGAUAACCGCAUGAAAGUGUGGCUAAUACAGGAUAUUCCAGGCUGGUCGCAUGAUUGGUUUGGGAAAUGGUUUGGUCUGGUGGGGGAUGGGCUCGCGGCCUAUCAGCUUGUUGGUGGGGUGAUGGCCUACCAAGGCGGUGACGGGUAGCCGGCCUGAGAGGGUGGGCGGUCACACUGGGACUGAGAUACGGCCCAGACUCCUACGGGAGGCAGCAGUGGGGGAUGUUGCACAAUGGGCGCAAGCCUGAUGCAGCGACGCCGCGUGAGGGAUGAAGGCCUUCGGGUUGUAAACCUCUUUCGCUGGGUUGAAAGGCCAUGCUUUGGGUGUGGUUGAUUUGAACUGGUAAAGAAGUACCGGCUAACUACGUG
rnacentral:rRNA from 1 species